rnacentral:rRNA from 1 species
GUGUCAGCAGCCGCGGUAAUACAGAGGGUGCAAGCGUUAAUCGGAAUUACUGGGCGUAAAGGGUGCGUAGGUGGUUUGUUAAGUCAGGCGUGAAAUCCUCGGGCUCAACCUGGGAACUGCGCUUGAUACUGACAGACUCGAGUGUGGUAGAGGAUAGUGGAAUUCCCGGUGUAGCGGUGAAAUGCGUAGAUAUCGGGAGGAACAUCAGUGGCGAAGGCGGCUAUCUGGACUAACACUGACACUGAGGCACGAAAGCGUGGGUAGCAAACAGGAUUAGAAACCCCGGUAGUCC